CGGCAGCCCGGCACUGACUGGAGACCCAGAAAAUUCAGGGAAUGGCUUAAAUAGAAUUUCAGCUUUGGGGGCUCAUAAUUGAGUGAGAGGCUUCUUCCUUGAUUCCCCUGAGAAGGAAGAAAUCUUCAUUUUUGGUUUGCAAGACCAUGAAAACAGUAAGUACAACAAAUGAAAUACUUUACACUCAAGGAAACAUGUUUUAAAAAACAGAGAAGAUAUAGAAAAGAAGUAUAAGUAAUAUAUUCAAAGAGAGACUAAACGAUAUUUUAUUAAUUUUAAAAGCCAUAGAUUAUAAAAAUAAAAGUUUGCCCUAUGAAAAUAGAAAGAAAAUCCUUAAGAUAGUAGGUGAAGAACAGAAUGGAUAAUGCCAGAAAAAUUUUGACCCGAGAGACCUAAAUAAGUAAUUCUCCCAAAAUACAGUAAAAGGGGAAUAAUGACAAAGAAUAUAAAAGAGAUACGGAGGAUACAUAUACAGAAAUUUCAAUAUGCAUCCAAGUUAUAGAAAUAUUAAAUGGAGUAGAGUACAAUCAAUAAUAAUUAUAACAACAAUAAAUGAGAAAUUUUCAGGAUUUAGCUAAAACAUAAAUCUUCAUCUAAACUUCAGAGUGGAAAAACACAUAAUACUCAAAGGAAAUACAAUUAUAUUGACUUCCAAUUUCUCAUCACCAACACUAGGAAGAAGAAAAUUUAAAAGAAAAAUCUUUGUCACCUUGGGUAAGCAAAGAGUUCUUGGACAUAAGACCAACACCAAAGGACAAACUAAUAAGGUAGAUAUUAUGAAAAUUAAAAACUUUACUUCUUCAAAAGACCAUUAAAAGAUUGGAAGGCUAGCCAUAGUCUGGAAGAAAAUAAUUGCACAUCAUAUAGUUAAUAAGUUUGUAUCUAGAAUACAUAAAGAACUCUCAUAACUCAAUUUUAAAGAGUAAACAAUAGGCAAAAAGAUUUGAACAGAUACUUCCCCAGGGAAGAUACUCAGAUAGAAAAUAGGCACCUGAAAUUAACAUCACUAGUCAUUAGAGAAAUGCAAAUUAAAACCACAACCAAAUACCAAUACACAAUGAUUAGAAUAGCUAAAAUAAAAAGACUUUACAAUACCACAUACUGGCAAGGAGGAGGAAUAACUAAAAAUUUCUUAUUGUUUAAAUGCAGAGUGGUACCAUGGGGCUGGAGCCUACUAGUCUAAUGAGGUUUUAGCUUAAUAAAAGUGUUUAAUUUUCAUUCAAUUAAUGUGGGAUAAAGUUUUACAGUCCUUAUUUUUCAGGAAUUAAGUAUGAUAUACUUGCUUAAGACUUUGAGGGUUGUUGUUCUGGCUAACCUAAAUUCCUGAUCCAAUGCUAAAAAUAUUCGUGCAAGGGGGAAAGAAAAGAUUGAUAAUAUCCUAAGUGGAGAUAGAAAGGCUAUUUUGUUUGUAUUCUUCACCUGGCAUUUUGUUUUUAUGUUGUUGGUUGUUGGCAAUAUUUUAAGUGGUGUAGAGUAAAUCAGUCAGACAUAAAAAUAUAAACUAAGUAAAGCUAUGAUAGCUACAAAUGUUGGUAUAAUAAACUAUUGUUCUUUGACAUGAAUAAUAAUUCAUUUAGGUAAAAAUCUGGUAAGUGAUGGUAGACUUCCUAAGGAAAAUAAGGUAACUGAAAUUGUGGUUGCUUAGGGUGAUAAUUGAUUUCAUGUGUAUGAUGAUGAUAAUGCUGUGGUACAUAUAUUUAAUAAUAAUUGCCUUCUGGGAGCACAGCUUAAAUUUCUCAUUUGCUUUACAUCCUGCUGCUCAUUUGAAAUUUUCAUUGGUUCACAGAUAUUUUAAGUAGCAAACACAGCUCUGAGGGCAGAAAAUGAGACAGUUAUUGCCUUGAAUUAUACUUCUGAUGGUGCGAAGAGUAGCUCUUUCCCCCCGCCAUCAUACUUACUGUGAUCUCUGUGGCUCCUGUAAUUUUUUUUUCCUUUCCAUAAACCAGAAAUACAUCAUCAGAACAAUUUAUGGCUAGGCAUGCCUGUAAUCCCAGCACUCUGGGAGGCUGAGGUGGAUGGAUCACCUGAGGUCAGGAGUUCGAGACCAGCCUGGCCAACAUGGCAAAACACUGUCUCUACUAAAAUACCAAAAGAUUAGCCAGGUCUGGUGGUGUGCGCCUGUACUCCCAGCCACUUAGGAGGCUGAGGCAGG
rnacentral:lncRNA from 10 species